rnacentral:rRNA from 1 species
AGCGAACGCUGGCGGCAGGCUUAACACAUGCAAGUCGAGCGGGCAUCUUCGGAUAUCAGCGGCAGACGGGUGAGUAACACGUGGGAACGUACCCUUCGGUUCGGAACAACUCUGGGAAACUGGAGCUAAUACCGGAUACGCCCUUAUGGGGAAAGGUUUACUGCCGAAGGAUCGGCCCGCGUCUGAUUAGCUAGUUGGUGGGGUAACGGCCUACCAAGGCGACGAUCAGUAGCUGGUCUGAGAGGAUGAUCAGCCACACUGGGACUGAGACACGGCCCAGACUCCUACGGGAGGCAGCAGUGGGGAAUAUUGGACAAUGGGCGCAAGCCUGAUCCAGCCAUGCCGCGUGAGUGAUGAAGGCCUUAGGGUUGUAAAGCUCUUUUGUCCGGGACGAUAAUGACGGUACCGGAAGAAUAAGCCCCGGCUAACUUCGUG